rnacentral:rRNA from 1 species
GAGUUUGAUCGUGGCUCAGAUUGAACGCUGGCGGCAGGCCUAACACAUGCAAGUCGAGCGGAUGACGGGAGCUUGCUCCUUGAUUCAGCGGCGGACGGGUGAGUAAUGCCUAGGAAUCUGCCUGGUAGUGGGGGACAACGUUUCGAAAGGAACGCUAAUACCGCAUACGUCCUACGGGAGAAAGCAGGGGACCUUCGGGCCUUGCGCUAUCAGAUGAGCCUAGGUCGGAUUAGCUAGUUGGUGGGGUAAUGGCUCACCAAGGCGACGAUCCGUAACUGGUCUGAGAGGAUGAUCAGUCACACUGGAACUGAGACGCGGUCCAGACUCCUACGGGAGGCAGCAGUGGGGAAUAUUGGACAAUGGGCGAAAGCCUGAUCCAGCCAUGCCGCGUGUGUGAAGAAGGUCUUCGGAUUGUAAAGCACUUUAAGUUGGGAGGAAGGGCAGUAAGUUAAUACCUUGCUGUUUUGACGUUACCGACAGAAUAAGCACCGGCUAACUCUGUGCCAGCAG